AUUGAACGCUGGCGGAAUGCUUUACACAUGCAAGUCGAACGGCAGCACGGGGGCAGCCCUGGUGGCGAGUGGCGAACGGGUGAGUAAUACAUCGGAACGUGCCCGGUCGUGGGGGAUAACGUAGCGAAAGUUACGCUAAUACCGCAUACGAUCUGAGGAUGAAAGCGGGGGACCUUCGGGCCUCGCGCGAUCGGAGCGGCCGAUGUCAGAUUAGGUAGUUGGUGGGGUAAAGGCCUACCAAGCCGACGAUCUGUAGCUGGUCUGAGAGGACGACCAGCCACACUGGAACUGAGACACGGCCCAGACUCCUACGGGAGGCAGCAGUGGGGAAUUUUGGACAAUGGGCGCAAGCCUGAUCCAGCCAUGCCGCGUGCAGGACGAAGGCCUUCGGGUUGUAAACUGCUUUUGUACGGAACGAAAAGGCUCUGGCUAAUACCUGGGGCUCAUGACGGUACCGUAAGAAUAAGCACCGGCUAACUACGUG
rnacentral:rRNA from 1 species